ensembl:lncRNA
AGUUGAUAGAAGUCAUUUCAAGCUUCAGGAAGUCCUGGGGUGGGAAGGAGCAUACAGAGCAUUGCAAAGAGGGCUCCCUUGUGGGAGCGGUUGGGUAGCUGCCAAAUUUCUAAUAAGAAAUGAAUUUGCUUUUAUUUAAAGAAGGAAAUGGUACUUUCCCUCCUAAUAGAGGAAGGAAAGGCUGUCUCUUUAGGCUUGGGUCACCAGCACCGCCUCUGCUUUGACUGGAGGGUAACUGGGGUGAGGAACAAAAACGACAAACACAGGGCUUGUCAUAGAGAUCCUGCCAGUUGAAGUAACUUAUAUUCUUCAAGAAGAAUCCAUAAAGAUUCCUCCCUGCAUGCUUCCCUAACAUAUUACAUUGAGAGAUGGGACUUGUGUUUUUUCCGUUAUUAUGGAUGGGCCUGAGAUGAAGAAAGGACCAAGUCUAUCUACUGUCCAAAGUCAGGAUAUGUACAAAGCAAUGCAUGGGAUGGGCAUCUGGCCUGGUGGUUAAGAUGUAUUUUAAUAUGUCUGCAUUGCACAUCACAGUGCCUGGGUAAAAGUCCCAGCUCUACUCCAAAUUUCUAACGUGAACUGUGGAAGGCAAUGUCAAUGGCUCAAGGAAUUAGGUUCCUUCCACCUAUGUGGAAGAAUUGCUCUUAUUUGACCCUGCCCAUUUCCAGCCAUUGCUGGCAUUUAGGGAGUAAAAUAGUACAUCCCCUCAAAUAUAUUAAUUUUUAAAAAGGCAACACAACUUCCUGCUGGUCUGUUUGGGAUAUUUACUCUGAAAUCCAGUUACAAUAUCUAGGUUUUAUUUCUCUCCACUGAGAACUUAGACAUCAUGGAGCAGACACAAAUCACUACUGUAAAACCCUGUUCUGGGCUUUCAUGACCAGUGUUGCUCUGCUUUGCCCAGUGAAUUUAGGAUUGAAUUAUCUAGAAAGGGAAGGAGAUAGGAAUAGAUCAUGGAGAUGUGAAGUCAGGUUCAUAUUUUGGUAUGGCUGCUUACAAAGCAUGUCUCUGCCUUCCUGUUAAAUCAGGGCUCUCAGUUCCUCAUGUUUAAAGUGUGGGUGAUCACAGAGGUGCCAGCCAUUGGGCUUCUUGUGAGGGGUGCAUGUUAACAUUUGCCCUUCAUUCAUCUUACAUCCUUUUCCAAAUUGACACAGAUAGACUUGUUGCUAGUAGCCAGCUUUUUUUUUUUUAAUUAUCUUUAUAUACCCAGUGCAUAGCACAUAGUAAGCUUCCCAUAAAGAUUUAUAUAAGAAAUAAGUCAGCCAAAAAAACUUAUAAAUUGUAAAAUGCCACGUGAAUGAUGGCUGUGAAUAUCAAAGUUUUCUCUCUAUGAAAUAUUCAAAUACACACAGAUAUAUUUAUAUAAAGCAUUUAAAAAGCUUAAUACUUGAUGUUUAGCCCAGUUCUUGGAAUAAGAUAGGCUUUCCAGAAUUAUGAAUAAUCAGCUGAAUGAAUACCUAGAUAUGUGGAUUUAUAAACAAUAACUAACUCAUAGAUGCUUAUAAAGGAGGAUAUUCUGAAUUGAUUUACUAUUUUAGACCUUGUGCAGAUGGAAAUCACUGAGAGUUGCAUGUGAAUUAAAUGGGAGAAGUACUUGACCACUCACAUAGCACAAAAGAGAUGAGAUAUUUGCCAGUUCUUUGGUUGAAUGGAUUAUUUAGAUGUCACAAAUUGAAAGUUUAGAUUAAGAACUGUGAUAUGCUGUAAGAAACUGAAUGUGAUUGUUAUAUUGGUAAUUUUUGCAACAGUUUUGCAGUAUGCUACAAAUUGAAGUUCAAAUUUCUAAGAAUGAUAUUCCGAGUGUUUCCCCAUCUGCCUGAAACCUACGUCUUCAGCCUCAUAUGGCAUUUCCUUAUCAAAUAAAGAUCUGUAUUUCAUUUUUUAUAUAUGGUCA